UACGGAGGGUGCGAGCGUUAUCCGGAAUUACUGGGUUUAAAGGGUGCGUAGGCGGCCAUGUAAGUCAGGAGUGAAAGUUUGCGGCUCAACCGUAAAAUUGCUUUUGAUACUGCAUGGCUGGAAUCAGGAUGAGGUCAGCGGAAUGUGGCAUGUAGCGGUGAAAUGCAUAGAUAUUACAUGGAAUACCAAUUGCGAAGGCAGGUUACUACUAGUGGAUUGACGCUGAUGGACGAAAGCGUGGGGAGCGAACAGG
rnacentral:rRNA from 1 species